GGCUCUUACAUCCUGAAAAUCUUACCGUUUGCGCAUCUUCUCCAACACUCGUUAUCAAUCCUAGAUUUCUCUCUGCCCCAACUGAAACCCGUUUCUCUCACACUUCAAUCUCCAAAGCCGCUUCAUACAGCAGCGGUUGGGGAAGUGGGGUUCGCGGGUUGUCGAUAAAACAGAGCAGGCGAAGCUUCAGAAGUCGGGUUGUGGCCAUGGCGGCGACUGGGCCGCUGCAGAAGUCCAAGGAGGAUUGGCGAGCAAUUCUUUCGCCGGAGCAGUUCUGGAUUCUGAGACAGAAGGGCACUGAAUAUCCAGGAACUGGGAAGUACGACAAAUUCUAUGAGGAGGGUUUUUAUCAGUACGCAGGAUGAGGAACUCCACUGUACAAGUCGACAACAAAAUUUAACUCAAGAUUCGGUUGGCCUGCUUUCUAUGAGGGUCUCCCUGGGGCCAUAACCGAACUCCUAAUCCUUACGGAAUGAGGACGGAAAUCACAUGUGCGGCUUGUGGGGGGCACCUCGGCCAUGUUUUUAAAGUUGAAGGUUUUCGCACGCCCACAGAUGAGCGCCAUUGUGUUAAUAGUAUAUCGCUGAAGUUCAUUCCAGCAAAUUAAGUUUCUCCGAGGGAAUGAGUGACUUCUGUGUUAAUGUGAUAAUAAUGCGAUUUGAAUUGCAUAGUAGCAUGAGUUUUGGCGAAUUGGAUUUUCUAUUGCAAACCCUGUUAUAUCUUAUACCCCAUUCAACAUACACAUACUACAUCAUGUAUAAAAUAUUUUCUAAAUAAAAUACAUAAUGUCAUUUUUAUACAAAUGACGUUUAUAUGUUGAAUGAAGAUGGAUUAGAAUUUGCAAUAGAAAAUUUAAUCCGUAGUUUUUGGUGCUGGUGAAACUAGAGAGAUGCAACUAGUAACCCUUGGACUAGUCCUCUGUAGUUUGGGGUUCAAGACCUCAUGUUUGAGGUCUUGGUUCGAAAAUUGGGUGUGCGGAGAAGGGCGUGUGUGUGGAGGUCUUGGAAAGUUAAAAAGUGUAAAAUGAUGGUUGGUCAAACUUUUUACCUCAGCAGUCAGCACCAUUAUUUUAUUUGGGAUAAAUUAUA